rnacentral:rRNA from 1 species
UACAGAGGCCACGAGCGUUAGGCGGAAUCACUGGGCUUAAAGCGUGUGUAGGUGGAUCGGUAAGUACCUUGUGAAAUCCCACGGCUCAAUCGUGGAACUGCUUGGUAUACUGCCAGUCUUGAGGCACUCAGGGGCGAGCGGAACAGAUGGUGGAGCGGUGAAAUGCGUAGAUAUCAUCUGGAACGCCAAUGGUGAAGACAGCUCGCUGGGGGUGUUCUGACACUGAGACACGAAGGCCAGGGGAGCAAACGGG